UAGGAGUUCCACUAAACCUGAUUUGUACCAGAGAUAUCUCUUUGUGCACCGCCUAUAUCUAGGAUAAAAUUUUUAUAGUCGGUCCGGUCAUGAAAGAGAUUAUGAUUGGACCGUCGUUGUCUAUCGCAUGUCCCUCACCCUACAGAUUACAAAACAGAAGCAGAGAGAGGAAAAAGAAAAGAGGAGAGGAGGGGAGAGAGAGGACGGUUUGGUGGCG
rnacentral:lncRNA from 1 species